UUGUUUCGGCCUGACUUUUCUGUUCAUUUUAAGCAGCAAAAGUGAGGCGCAUGUCUGUGUACGUGUGUAUGGAGCCAUUGGGUGCGGUCACUAUAGCAACCAGGCUCACACCUGCCUGCUUAACGAGCUCUGCCUGCCACUGUACCAAGAUUCAUCUUAAGCACUUCUCUUUCAACUGCUGCUGUGUCCACAGUGUUACAGCCAUCAUUUUACCCUCAAAUUGUCGCCAUUAUUGUUCUCUUUCCAACACCGUAUCUUUCAAAGCUCAGGCAUUUAAACUUUUUAAACUGUGUGGAUCAAAGUGGAGGGAUCACAUUUUCUUCAUUCAGUGAUUCAAAGAAUAUGACCUUUUAAUAUUCAUUCAGAUGUUUUCUGACUCUAAAUGUUCUUUUCUCAUUUCUUAGGGUUUUCUAAUUUACAUUUAAAGCAUUUUCAGCUUUUUUCCAACUUCUUCUUCUGUGUAACCUUCAGCUUUUAGCAGUUCAGCACCUUUGAUUUCAGGUUAAUUUGAUUUUUGAUUUUUUUUUAAUUUCAUUCAAUAUUUUUAACUCAAAAUUCAGCAAUUAAUUCAUUUCAGUGCAUACAUUCAGAUUCAAGCAUUCACACUGCAGUUUCUUCAGAAAAUGCACUUUCUAGUUAGUGUGAAUGCUUGAAAAGCAUUCACAGUAUUGUUAUUCGAAUCUUUAUUAUUAUUAUAUUUUAUUCUGUAUUCCGUACGUUUUUUGAAAGCCUACUCCUUCAAAACCGUUCAACUUAGAAAAACCAUUCAAACACCGUUAGAUUCCUAUUCUUUUGGACAACAUUGCUUCUAUUUUUCUCAUUUUUAACAUUUAUAUUUUUAAUUUUAUUCAACUUUAUUCAACAAAAAUUUCCCAUGUAUUUCAAUGGGGAGACCCUUCAAAUUCUCAUUCAACUUACUCAUUUUUAAACUCUUACUACUUCAACAUACGUUCACAUAGAGCCACCAUUCAAACUUUAAAACGAAGACAAGACAUUCAACUAUUCAACUUGUAUUUAUCUUUUCAAUAUCUAUUAUACUUUUUCUUCAGUUCCAGUUUAAGUUUCAUGAUGUUUUUUCACCCGUUUCAGAGUUUAUAAUGGGUGUGUAUGGGACGGAAUGUUGGGGCUAGAGUGAGGCAGCUCAACUGCUAGAGUGAGAGGAGCAAAAAAAUUAAUCUUAAAAUCUUUUUUAAAACUGCUGCUGUGUCCGCAGCGUUUGCUCUACAGGUAUGAUUUUACCCUCAAAACGUAGCCAUCGCUGUCCUCUUUCAUCCAAUGUGUUUACUAUUGUC
ensembl:lncRNA